UACAGAGGUGGCAAGCGUUGUUCGGAAUUACUGGGCGUAAAGCGCGUGUAGGCGGCUCUUCAAGUCAGGCGUGAAAGCCCCGGGCUCAACUCGGGAACUGCGCUUGAUACUGUCGAGCUAGAGUGUGGAAGGGGCGAUUGGAAUUCCGUGUGUAGCGGUGAGAUGCGUAGAUAUACGGAGGAACACCAGAGGCAAAGGCGGAUCGCUGGGCCAACACUGACGCUGAGACGCGAAAGCUAGGGGAGCAAACGGG
rnacentral:rRNA from 1 species